rfam:Marinomonas aquimarina strain CECT 5080 genome assembly, contig: 0004
UAGGAUGACUGAAAAUAUGCUCGGCCACCCUGAAUUUUUAAUUGCAUAUUAAUAUUGGAGAUACAGAUUAUGGCAUUGUCUGCAGAACAAAAAGCAGCAUUGGUUGCAGAGUUUCAAACUAAAGAA